rnacentral:rRNA from 1 species
UGCGAAAGCGUGGGGAGCAAACAGGAUUAGAUACCCUGGUAGUCCACGCCGUAAACGAUGUCUACUUGGAGGUUGUGCCCUUGAGGCGUGGCUUCCGGAGCUAACGCGUUAAGUAGACCGCCUGGGGAGUACGGCCGCAAGGUUAAAACUCAAAUGAAUUGACGGGGGCCCGCACAAGCGGUGGAGCAUGUGGUUUAAUUCGAUGCAACGCGAAGAACCUUACCUGGUCUUGACAUCCACAGAACUUUCCAGAGAUGGAUUGGUGCCUUCGGGAACUGUGAGACAGGUGCUGCAUGGCUGUCGUCAGCUCGUGUUGUGAAAUGUUGGGUUAAGUCCCGCAACGAGCGCAACCCUUAUCCUUUGUUGCCAGCGGUUAG